rnacentral:misc_RNA from 1 species
GAUGAAGAACGUAGCGAAAUGCGAUACUUGGUGUGAAUUGCAGAAUCCCGUGAACCAUCGAGUCUUUGAACGCAAGUUGCGCCCGAAGCCAUUAGGCCGAGGGCACGCCUGCCUGGGCGUCACACGUCGUUGCCCCCCCAUCUACUCCUUCGGGAUUGCGGGGGGCGGAUGACGGCCUCCCGUGCGCCUCGCCGCGCGGUUGGCAUAAAUGCCAAGUCCUCGGCGACGCACGCCACGACAAUCGGUGGUUGCGAAACCUCGGUUGCCCGUCGUGUGCGGUCGUCGCGCAUCGAGGGCUCGAAAAAAUUGCCGGGUUCCGGCUCGGCUUUCAACGCGACCCCAGGUCAGGCGGGGUUACCCGCUGAAUUUAAGCAUAUCAAUAAGCGGAGGA